rnacentral:lncRNA from 1 species
NNNNNNNNNNNNNNNNNNNNNNNNNNNNNNNNNNNNNNNNNNNCCCCUCCAAGCUCAGCCCGGGUGCCUGCCCGCCUCUACUUACCCAGGAAGCCCCUGGAGGCCGGGCUGUGCUUUCCCUCCUGUCCAAGCUUGCCGAGUGCGAUUGGCCUGGAGGGGGAGCCUGGGAACCAGGGGGCCCGGGGAGGGGGCAGAGCAGAGGCUGGCCCCGAGCUCCCGUGCCCAACCAGGAUGCCCACUGCCCCCCCCAGGCAAGCUGCUGGAGCCGCACGAAUACGCCGCCCUGCAGAAGCUGGAUGACCCCAACGAGAUGUGCACCUACGAGGAGCUGCGCACGGCCAAGACUAUGCCUAGGAACCACGUAUGUGGGGCGGGGGGGCAGGAAACGCGCCACACCACACUCCCACGCGCCACACACCGCACUCCCACGUGCCACACUCCCACGUGCCACACACCACGCUCCCACACCACACACCGCACUCCCAUGCCACACUCCCACGCGCCACACGCCCACACGCCACACUCCCACGUGCUACGCGCCACACUCCCACGCGCCACACACCACACUCCCACACGCCACACUCCCACGCACCACACACUGCACUCCCAUGCCACACUCCCACACACCACACUCCCACGCGCCACACGCCACACGCCACACACCGCACUCCCAUGCCACACUCCCAUGUGCCACACACCACACUCCCACGUGCCACACUCCCACGUGCCACAUGCCACGCUCCCACGCCACACACCGCACUCCCAUGCCACACUCCCACGCGCCACGCGCCACAUGCCACACUCCCACAUGCUACACGCCACACUCCCACGCGCCACACGCCACACGCCACACUCCCACACGCUACACGCCACACUCCCACGCGCCACACACCACACUCCCCCACGCCACACUCCCACGCACCACACUCCCACGCGCCACACACCACGCUCCCACGGCACACACCGCACUCCCAUGCCACACUCCCACGUGCCACACUCCCACGCGCCACAUGCCACACUCCCCACAUGCCACACACUGCACUCCCAUGCCACACUCCCACACACUUCACUCCCACGCGCACUCUUCCCUGAGGUCAGCCCUUCUCCUGCCCUGGCUCUGCCCCAGCCCUGAAGCCCGCGGGCACCAGCAGAGAGAUGCCAGCUCCCUGGGGAUAGGCCGCUGGCGUCUGCAGGGGGAGCCCUUCCGAGAUCUCCAGGUGCUGCCAGCAGGGUGGCUGGCCAGUGGGGGCCAGAGAGACCAGAGGAGCCCCGAGCGGGCCCCCCGCAUGCCGGGGCCGCUAGGCAGAGCACGAGCCUGGGGUUGGGGUCGGGGCCUCCAGCCCUCGCCAGACGGGCAUCGGAGGU